UCCGAGCGGAUGGAAUCCGUCAUGAAUAACUUCAGACAAAAUUUUAGACUGAAUAGAAGUGCUUUUAAAAAAUUAUGCAGUUUUCUGGAUUACCUAAAGAGAAAGGAAACAAGAUUCCAUAAUACCAUCUGCUUGGAGAAACGAGUUGCCAUCGCCCUAUAUGCUCUUGGGUCCUCAGCGGAAUAUCGUAGCAUUGCGAACUUGUUUGAGUGGCCAAAUCAACAGUAUGCGCAGCUCUCUUGGAAUUUUGUAGGGAAGUGUGGAAAGUGUUACACCCAAUGUAUUUCAACCACUUUCCCCUAAGUAGAAAAACUAUUGAAGACUGUUAAUCGGUUUAAACACAUUGGAUUCCCUCAGUGUAUGGGUGCUCUUGAUGGAUGCCACAUAGAAAUUCAUCCCAGACGGGAAGAAGCAGUCGAUUAUAUCACUUAUAAAGGAUAGUAUUCAACAGUGUUACUAGCACUUGUUGAUGCAAGAUAACGUUUUUUAUACAUCAACGUGGGAAGUCCAGGAAGAUGUAAUGAUUCCCAAAUCUUUGAAAAGUCCAGCUUAAAAAGGGAACUGGAGAACUGCUCAUUUCUGAACACAAUGAGCACAAAUUUAGGAAAUUUUGACAUCUCAGUUGUCAUUCUUGGAGAUUCUGCCUUUCGUUUUUCCAAAUAUUUAAUGAAGCAUUUUCCAUUCAGUUUGGAUAAGACGCCUUCACAAAAAGCUUGGUUGAAAAUGCUUGUGGGCAAUAGAAAACAAGGUAAUUAAGUGAAUAUAGUAUUGUAGUAACAUAU